CCAUCAAAGACAGUUUCAACUGAGGAGGAAAAGAAGUCUAGCAGUACUGGCAUUUUUGGUUCGGUUUUGAGCAUGCUCUCAGGCAUCGCUCAAACAAUUUUAGGUGCGCUCACGUAAAAGUCCAACAAGAAGCUGGAAAGUACAACCAUGGAAGUUUUUGUAAAAGACAAGAGAAUAGAAGAAUAUAUCAAGAGCGGAAAUGACCUUUUAACCUCAAGAUGAACAAAAAAUGAUCAGAAAAAUACAAAGUAAACUGUUAUAAAUGCAAA
rnacentral:sRNA from 1 species